UAGGCCUACGGGAGGCAGCAGUGGGGGAUAUUGCACAAUGGAGGAAACUCUGAUGCAGCGACGCCGCGUGAGGGAAGACGGUCUUCGGAUUGUAAACCUCUGUCUUUGGGGAAGAAAAUGACGGUACCCAAAGAGGAAGCUCCGGCUAACUACGUGCCAGCAGCCGCGGUAAUACGUAGGGAGCAAGCGUUAUCCGGAUUUACUGGGUGUAAAGGGCGCGUAGGCGGGAUGGCAAGUCAGAUGUGAAAUCCAGGGGCUCAACCCCUGAACUGCAUUUGAAACUGUCGUUCUUGAGUACUGGAGAG
rnacentral:rRNA from 1 species